CACGUAGGCGGAUUGUUAAGUUAGGGGUGAAAUCCCGGGGCUCAACCCCGGAACUGCCUUUGAUACUGGCAAUCUAGAGUUCGAGAGAGGUGAGUGGAAUUCCGAGUGUAGAGGUGAAAUUCGUAGAUAUUCGGAGGAACACCAGUGGCGAAGGCGGCUCACUGGCUCGAUACUGACGCUGAGGUGCGAAAGCGUGGGGAGCAAACA
rnacentral:rRNA from 1 species